AACAAGGGUGCCAAGACUUUUCAAUGGGGAAAGGACAGUCUUUUCAAAAAAUGGUUUUGGGAAAACUGGAUAAUCACGUGCAAAAAAAUUAAGUUGGACCCUUACUUUACAAAGUAUACAAAAAGUAAUUCAAAACAGAUCAAAGACCUAAGCAUAAGAGUUAAAACUAUAAAACUCUUAGAUGAAAACAUAAAGUGAAAUAUUCAGGACAUUGGU